UACGUAGGGUGCGAGCGUUUGUCCGGAAUUAUUGGGCGUAAAGAGCUCGUAGGCGGUUUGUCGCGUCUGCUGUGAAAACUGGAGGCUCAACCUCCAGCCUGCAGUGGGUACGGGCAGACUAGAGUGCGGUAGGGGAGAUUGGAAUUCCUGGUGUAGCGGUGGAAUGCGCAGAUAUCAGGAGGAACACCGAUGGCGAAGGCAGAUCUCUGGGCCGUAACUGACGCUGAGGAGCGAAAGCAUGGGGAGCGAACAGGAUUAGACUACCGUG
rnacentral:rRNA from 1 species